rnacentral:lncRNA from 13 species
AUUGAGACCAUCCUGAGCAACAUGGUGAAACCCUAUCUCUACUAAAAGUACAAAAAAUUUGCCGGGCGUGGUGGUGCGUGCCUGUUGUCUCAGCUACUCAGGGGACUGAGGCAGGAGAAUUGCUUAAAACCGGAAAACGGAAGUUGCAGUGAGCUGGGAUCGCGCCACUGCAUUCCAGCCUGGUGACAGAGCCAGACUCUGUCUCAAAGAAAAACAAACAAACAAAAAAACAAUGACGAAACACAGUAAGUUCACAAAGAGAUACUUAUGCAAAGAAAGAUAUUAUUCACAAAAGACCGAUUCUUAUGGAUUCUGGAGGGACAUGAAUGGAGCUGGAAGAUGUUAUUCUCAGCAAAGUAACACAGGAGAAGAAAACCAAACACUGCAUGUUCUCACUUAUAAGUGGAACCUGAAUGAUGAGAACACAUGGACACGGGGAGGAACACUCUCCUGGUAAGGGAAGAUUGCCUCAACUGAGCGCGUGUACAACUCCAGUGAACACACUGUGCAUGCAACCCUACCAAGUUCCAGCAGGCCACUCUGUGUAGGGACAGCCUACCCCAAUGGAACAAUCGAGAGAAAAAGAACACAACAUCCCUGGAAGCAUGCCAAUGGAUAAAACCCCAAGUUAAAGGUCAAACAGUGCAUUUGAAUAUCUCAAGUCGCCUGUGUGGCCCUCUUCCAAGUGCAUUUUACUUCCUUUUGGUCCUGCUCUAAUACUUUUUAAUAAAAGUUUAUGCCUGCU